rnacentral:rRNA from 1 species
GACGAACGCUGGCGGCGUGCUUAACACAUGCAAGUCGAACGGAAAGGCCCUGCUUUUGUGGGGUGCUCGAGUGGCGAACGGAUUAGUAACCCGUGAGUAACCUGCCCUUUACUUUGGGAUAACUUCAGGAAACUGUGGCUAAUACCGGAUAGGAGCUCCUGCUGCAUGGUGGGGGUUGGAAAGUUUCGGAGGUUGGGGAUGGACUCGCGGCUUAUCAGCUUGUUGGUGGGGUAGUGGCUUACCAAGGCUUUGACGGGUAGCCGGCCUGAGAGGGUGACCGGCCACAUUGGGACUGAGAUACGGCCCAGACUCAUACGGGAGGCAGCAGUGGGGAAUAGUGCACAAUGGGCGGAAGCCUGAUGCAGCAACGCCGCGUGCGGGAUGACGGCCUUCGGGUUGUAAACCGCUUUCGCCUGUGACGAAGAGUGAGUGACGGUAAUGGGUAAAGAAGCACCGGCUAACUACGUG